CCCGGCAUGUGAUAUUCAUGUAUAUGUAUAUGUAUAUGAUUGUGUGCAUUGCAUUUGGGUGAUUUUAAACUCUUGAUCAUGGAAUUAUUUUAUCCUUUCCUAAGUUACAUGCUAGCGCUCAACGCGCUAACCAUCACCAAAUAUUGUAGUCCCACGUAAUGUAGGAACAAAAGAUACUUUUAUUUUUCUAAUGCAAUGAUUGGAUUUCAAGAUUAUCAGUAGUCAUCUUGAACUGGUGA
rnacentral:lncRNA from 1 species